ACGUAGGUGGCAAGCGUUGUCCGGAAUUAUUGGGCGUAAAGAGCGCGUAGGCGGGAUGGACAGUCUGUUGUGAAAUUGCGGGGCUCAACCCCGUAUCGGCAAUGGAAACUUCCAUUCUUGAGUGCAGGAGAGGAAAGUGGAAUUCCCAGUGUAGCGGUGAAAUGCGUAGAUAUCGGGAGGAACACCAGUGGCGAAGGCGCCUUUCUGGACAUUUGCUGACACUGAAACACGAGAGCUAGGGGAGCAAACAG
rnacentral:rRNA from 1 species